AAGCAGUUCUCCAACAGAAAUAUGUGCAUGAAGUGAUGGUUUGGGUAACCAUUUCAUCUUUUCAUGUCAUAUAUCUCCUGCCUCUCACGGUUUCAUCUGUGAGAAGCUUCAAAGAACUGCAAUAGAAGUCUAGCUCGAGAUGCGUGUGCCGGUUUGCUUUUAAUGCAAUAUGGUUCCUUUUCUCCUCGGGACAGUU
rnacentral:snoRNA from 15 species